UGGGCUUGACAUGGUGCUGCAAGCGCACGGAAACGUGUGACCUUCGAGGGUGCACCACAGGUGCUGCAUGGCUGUCAUCAGCUCGUGUCGUGAGAUGUUGGGUUAAGUCCCGCAACGAGCGCAACCCCCGUGGCGUGUUGCCAGCAUUUAGUUGGGGACUCACGCCAGACUGCCGGUGACAAACCGGAGGAAGGUGGGGAUGACGUGUUGGAAG
rnacentral:misc_RNA from 1 species